rnacentral:rRNA from 1 species
GACGAACGCUGGCGGCGUGCUUAACACAUGCCAGUCGAACGGAAAGGCCCGGGUUUUGUGGGGUGCUCGAGUGGCGAACGGGUGAGUAACACGUGAGUAACCUGCCCUUGACUUUGGGAUAACUUCAGGAAACUGGGGCUAAUACCGGAUAGGAGCUCCUGCUGCAUGGUGGGGGUUGGAAAGUUUCGGCGGUGGGGGAUGGACUCGCGGCUUAUCAGCUUGUUGGUGGGGUAGUGGCUUACCAAGGCUUUGACGGGUAGCCGGCCUGAGAGGGUGACCGGCCACACUGGGACUGAGAUACGGCCCAGACUCCUACGGGAGGCAGCAGUGGGGAAUAUUGCACAAUGGGCGGAGGCCUGAUGCAGCAACGCCGCGUGCGGGAUGACGGCCUUCGGGUUGUAAACCGCUUUCGCCUGUGACGAAGCGUGAGUGACGGUAACGGGUGAAGAAGCACCGGCUAACUACGUG